GCAUCAGAGAGUUGUUUCUUCUUUGAGUCUGACUCGCUUUCCAAAGUUCCAAUAAGCUCUCGCUGCUUUGCUACCUCUGCCUGUGAGGUAGGCUUCUUUGGAGAAACACUCUCAUCGGCACUGAAAGAGAUCUGGCUAAUUCCACUGACUGCUUGCUGAUAGAUUCGUAAACCUGUCUUGUUAUUUGGAGUUGAGAAAGCACUACCAGACUCAGAUGCACCAUUGUCAUUGUCUGCUGCAAAGAUACCACUGCCAGUUAUCUCCCUCAGCUUCGAGCCUGA
rnacentral:misc_RNA from 1 species